AAGUCGAUAAGACCAGGAGAAGUGAAGAUGUAACAUGUUAUCUGUCGCUCCUCUUAGCUGGCGGAGAGAAUUUACAUUUAAAGAUUAGCAGAGUGAGAAAGAGAAAUCUGCCUUUUGUUGUGUGGGGUGAGGAGGAGGCAUCUACCCCUGGCCUUGACGCUAUCUCCCAUCACCUCUGCUAUCCAGACAGGACUCACCGAGUAUCAAAUGAUAAGAACUGAGCACACUGGAUGAAAUAAUACUUGCACUGGGAGCACUAAGAAAAGAUUGAUCUCUGGGCUGGUGAACAUAAUCUCUGUCCCAGUCAGAAAAGGAGAGAGGAAAUUAGCAGAGCGAUUGGUGGAGAAUGAUAUCUGUCAAAAGAAACACUUGGAGAGCACUGAGUUUAGUAAUAGGUGACUGCCGGAAAAAAGGGAACUUUGAAUAUUGUCAAGAUCGUACUGAGAAGCACUCCACAAUGCCAGACUCACCUGUGGAUGUGAAGACGCAAU
rnacentral:lncRNA from 10 species